UUUUUGUUUCUCUCUCUUUUAUUCCAUGGUUUUGUUUUUCCACUGGUUGUGACAAAGGGACUUAGAAAUGAACAUGAACCAUAACAAUAUUGAUUAGCAUGAAGCAAGGCAAUCUGAAAUUUUGUGUGAUAUGAAUCCAACAAAUAACUUUAUACGCGUCCUCACAUACUCUCCCCAAUUAAACAGACUAAAUAUGUGCCUGCACGGGUCCUUACAUACUCUCUCCGUUUAAGCCCCGACGUCCCCAUCAGACUAAGGGUUCAAAUCUAAUCACAAGCACCACUAAUCACAAGCACUAUAAUCGAUCCGUGGUCAGUCUCAAUAGAUCUGUGCUGCAGUGUUGCAUAGUUCACAUAUGUUAUGGGUCGGUUCAUACUA
rnacentral:lncRNA from 1 species